UUUGAUUUUUUUUAAAGAAAUUGAUAAGAGAAACAGCAACACAUUAUCACUACUCUGUUGUCAUUUCCUUCAAUACAACACGAGUAAUUCUUUCAAUUAACUCUUCUGUUACCACCACAAGGGUCAACAACGAGUCACACCUACAAGCUUUCCUUCUCCUAAGCUUUUUAACAACUUUCGGUGGCGUCACAGCAGUUUCCCGUGAAGGUAGUUUUUCUUCCUUCUCUGUUACUACAACUUCAUUCGUUUCAUUGCCGGGCAGAAUCUCCUUUGUUUCCUCUGUUCGGUCUACUACCAGAGGUCCAUCGCCAUUUUCUGUAACAUUCCUACUCUUCACAGAUGUGUCCUUGAUGGUUUCAUGUGAAGGUAGUUUUUCUUCUUUCUCUGUUACUGAAAUUUCAUUCGUUUUAUUGCCGGGCAGAAUCUCCUUUGUUUUCUCUGUUCGGUCAACUAUCAGAGGUCCAUCGCCAUUUUCUGUAACAUUCCUACUCUUCACAGAUGUGUCCUUGAUGGUUUCAUGUGAAGGUAGUUUUUCUUCUUUCUCUGUCACUACAACUUCAUUCGUUUUAUUGCCGGGCAGAAUCUCCUUUGUUUCCUCUGUUCGUUCUACUAUCAGAGGUCCAUCGUCAUUUUCUGUAACAUUCCUACUCUCCACAGCUGUUUCCUUGAUGGUUUCAUGUGAAGGUAGUUUUUCUUCUUUCUCUGUUACAACAAUUUCAUUCGUUUUAUUGCCGGGCAGAAUCUCCUUUGUUUUCUCUGUUCGUUCUACUAUCAGAGGUCCAUCGCCAUUUUCUGAAGCAUUUCUACUCUCCACAGAUGUCAUCGAAAUGCUUUCCUGUGAAGGUAGUCUUUCUUCUUUCUCUGUUACAACAAUUUCAUUCGUUUUAUUGCCGGGCAGAAUCUCCAUUGUUUUCUCUGUUCGUUCUACUUUCUGAGGUCCAUCGCCAUUUUCUGAAGCAUUUCUACUCUCCUCCACAGAUGUCAUCGAAAUGCUUUUCUGUGAAGGUAGUUUUUCUUCUUUCUCUGUUACUGUAAUGUCAUUUGUUUCAUUGCCGGGCAGAAUCUCUUUUGUUUUCUCUGUCUGUUCUACUAUCAGAGGUCUAUCGCCAUUUUCUGUUACAUUCUUAGUCUCCACAGAUGUCUCCUUAAUGGUUUCCUGUGAAGGUAGCUUUUCUUCUUUUUCUGUUACUAACAUUUCAUUCGUUUUAUUGCCGGGAAGAAUCUCAAUGGUUUUCUCUGUCCGUUCUACUUUCUGACGUCCGUCGCUCUGAUCCGUAUCAUUCUUACUUUCCACACAUGUUUCCCUAAUGGUUUCCUCUAAAGGCAGUUUUUCUUCUUUCUCUGUUGCUAAUAUUUGAUUCGUUUUAUUGCCUGGCAGAAUCUCCUUUGUUACCUCUGUUCGUUCUACUUUCAGAGAUCCAUUGCCCUUUUCUGUAAAAUUCUUACUCUCCACAAAUGUCUCGUUGAUGAUUUCCUGUGAAGGUAGUUUUUCUUCUUUCUCUGUUACGAAAGCUUCAUUCGUUUUAUUGCCGGGCAGAAUCUCCACUGUUUUUUCUGUUCGUUCUACCUUCUGAGGCCCAGCGCCAUUUUCUGUUACAUUCUCAGUCUCCACAGAUGUCUCUAUAAUGGUUUCCUGUGAAGGUAGUUUUUCUUCUUUCUCGGUCACUUUCCUUUCCAUGGUCUUGAUAGUGUCAUCCGCGCCAUUUUGCAAACCUGUCUUCAUUCUCUCAAGAUCAGAGAAUUUGGGGGAAUCUUUGAGUACCCCCUCGUCAAUUUUCUUCCAUAGGUCCUCACCGGCCUUCUCCAGGCUAGCAGAGGGCACCCCGUCCUUUGGGACCCCAGUGGAGCCCGCCCCGCCGGCCAAGUGCUGGCUGCUGGCAGCCAGAUUCCCUAGGAUAAUGACGAUCGUCCAAACAACGAAGAGCUUCAUAAUUGACGCUUGUGAGAUGAUAUUAAAAAUAAUUACGGUUUUGUGGCAGAAAACCGCUUU